GAGUCUUCAGUCUGCAGUUGAGACACAAUAUAAACUUAUUCCCAUUGCGCAUGUAUUCAUCACUCCAUUCACCUCCACAAACCUGAGAAAACAACGACUCAUUAUUCGCUAUAUACAACAGAGAGAACGGCUGGUGUGAUUUUGACCUAGCUGUUUGCAUUCGUAAUCGUUUUGUACCAUUCUGACGUAAGAGGAAAAGUGUGCUAAAAAUACCGAGUUGCAGAUGAGCUGGUGGUUAGUUUACAUUCCUAUUUUUCCUCAAUGCACAAGGCAGUCAUUUGGGGUCGUCUUAGCUUUCCACGACCUGUGAUAUUAUUGUGUCUCCUGAGGGGGAUAAAUACUUCUCGCCUUCACUGACGAGGCGCUGAGCAACGUGGGAAGAAGUUACUGAAAGCUCCCACAGGAGUUACCGUUCUCUGCCCCGCCUCCCCAGCCUGCUCGUUUCCGCCACACCCACCGGGCUCCGGGCGGAUGGGCCGAGGUGUCCUGGGUUGGCUGGUGAGGAUGAUGUGGCUGAUGCAGGUGCUGGGAGCCGGACAGCAAGCGUCCACGUCGAGAUUGUCUGAGAGCAUCUUGUCAGCAGCUUCCGAGCCCCCCACUACGACCCCAGCCGCCCAGCCCUCCUCCCACCCCACGCCUCUGCCCACGGGCCACCCCCCGCCCGCCCACACACCUGACGGGUACCUGCAGCUCAGCGUCACCUCGUCCGCCCACCUCCUCUUCGUGUCCGUCAACGAUAAAG